UACGAAGGGGGCUAGCGUUGCUCGGAAUCACUGGGCGUAAAGCGCACGUAGGCGGAUCUUUAAGUCAGAGGUGAAAUCCCAAGGCUCAACCUUGGAACUGCCUUUGAUACUGGGGAUCUCGAGUCCGGAAGAGGUUGGUGGAACUGCGAGUGUAGAGGUGAAAUUCGUAGAUAUUCGCAAGAACACCAGUGGCGAAGGCGGCCAACUGGUCCGGUACUGACGCUGAGGUGCGAAAGCGUGGGGAGCGAACAGG
rnacentral:rRNA from 1 species